AAUCUCUUAUCCAUCUAUCCUCUCUCCCAAUGCGCAAACUUGAAAGAACUACAAGCUGAACUCCUAUCUCUCUUGAAUCAAACUCAGUCCCACCUUAUUCCCUUGCACUCCAUGCGCAUAAUAAAGGAAUACCCCAAGAAAAUGGACUGUUCAUCCUUGAAUCAGAAUCAUGCUUAGUUUCCCUAAUGCCCCUCACAACCGUAAACCCUCCAAGAGGCACACCACAAAUCACGCUGGUAUCCUCUCCCACAUUAUCCCUCCCACUAACCGUGAGUCCACAAGGAGACAGCAAAGUACCAAGCACACUAUUCCCCUUUCAAGACCGUAGACCAGCUAGAGAAGAACCCAAAGCUUGCAUGUUAAAUUCCUCCUCCCUAUUCCUCACAAACCGUCAGCUACAUAAGAGGACAACGAUCAUCAAGUUUUCAUUCUUUCCUUUCAUGGUUCGGCUGAUUUGCAUUGAGCAAGAGAAUCUGACUUGAGCUCAAUAAUUAUUCUUCCUUCCUCUUCUCCCCAAGCCGUGAGUUCUAUGAGAAGGAGCAAAACAUCCAAGCAGUCUCUUCCUUCUUUCUCUUGUUCGGUCAAUGAUCCCCAAGCACGGAGAUUGAAGUUAUACUCUCACUGCCAUUCUGUUCCUUGUGCACAUAGCCAGCACAAGAGGGAGUAACUGGAUUCUAUUUCGUGGAGCAUAGGGAGGGGGGAAAAGGCUGAUCCUUGACUGCUUGGUGACCGUUUGUGUGUCUGCAAGAAGAUGUGUGCUAACCUCUAAAAGAGUGGGCUGAUUGGUGAUGUUUUGAUUAAAAAUGUUAAAGACUCGAGGUACCUAGGACAACGGAAAGCUCGAGAAAGUUUCCUAACAUGGGUGUUUUGACAAACUGUAUGAGAGAUUGUGAUUCUGCUCUGUUUGGACUUUGAGCUUGUGUGGACUCUUGGCUUGGAUAGCUAGCUUAGAGGGUCAGGUAAUGUUGAGACCUCAGGCGGCAGGAGGCCGGAGCUGAGUUAGAUUGCUGUUAUAUUAUGCUGCCAUGAUUGGAUGCUGGAUUUGCAUGCUGUUUAUGCUUAUAGCUUCAGUUAUGUUUAUGGAGUUUUAUGUUGAGACUUGUUGUUUACUAUGCUUAUUUGGUUAGCAUGGGGAUUGUCCAUGACACAUAGUAUUGUUAUGUCUUAUUUAUGUCUUGCGCCUUUUGAAGUUGUAAUAAUGUAUCAGGAUAUUGUCCGGAUUACGAGAUGUAAUACCGUGAUUUAGAUACACACUUUAUUUAUAUAU